CAUUUAACUCCCAGGAAUUUGCCACCAAACCUUCAUAAAGCACUGAGUAGCAGAUAUCAUAUGCUUCAUAGUUGAACUUCAUAGAAAGCUCUAAGAUGACCCCUGCAGUUGUCUACUGGUGUGUGCUACUGACUGCUGUCCUGGCCCAAUGGACAAGUGCACUGGAUCUAGAGUCCCUAGGAUACACAUCUGCGCUAUCAUUAAAACAACUAGAAGCCACUAAUGGAUCUUAUACACAAACACUUCGCUUUCAAGUGUGCAGAACUGAUAAUGACACAAACUUUUCAGUGGUAGUUAGAAAAGGAGGCCUAGACAUUGGCAACGCUCGUGUGGAUUACCCAAUUUAUAAGACAGAAGACAUCACGGUCACGUACAACCAAGAAUGGUUUCCAGACAAGUUUUGCAAGAGAGCCGAUGUCUAUUUACACGAAGGUGAUGUGGACAACGGAACAAUCCUACAGUUGGUACUAUAUCAAGCCAACCAGACCACUGCAAAUAUUGUGCGUGAUAUAACAGUGCCCUUCACAGUGGAAGAUGAUAAGUGCACAACAAGUGGAGCAAAAGGUUCUCCUAUGCCAGCAUUGAAGAUGCUUAUCUCUCUUAUUGCCAUGGUUGUCAUGAUCGCCCUACGGUGUAUGUGGUGAGGUUGGUGACUCCUAAAGCAACUGGGGUAUGUUAUGUUAUAGAUAGUACAUGGGCAUGAGGUAUCUAUGUGUUAUAGUGUCCCAUAUCACGAGGGCUUUGCCCGAGGGAUGAGGGACACUGUAUAACCAUAGAUAUAUACCGAAUGCACAUGUGCUAACUGAUUUAGAUCCCACUUUUCAUUGGCUGCCUCAGGCAAGAAGUGUAUCUAAAAGCAGCAAGCCUUAGCAACAGCUUUAUUUUUGAAAAUGUCCUGUUCUGACAAGCUAGUCUAGAUGAUUUCUGCUAAAAAAAACCUUUGCAUUGGCCUUGCUUCAAUGUUGGAAUGGACAAACUAGUGACUCCACCUUGUGCAGGAAGCGCUCUGCAACAAAUGAGCCCAGCCUCGAUCCUCUUUCUCUUUCUCUGCACUCAAGCCCCACCCCAGCUCAACUGUUCUGAUAUGUACGGCUAGCUAGCAAGGAACAGCUUGCAGCAAUGCUACAGUGCACUAUUGUUCCCAAAAAGACACAGGAGUCUACUGAAGUAAACAAUUGAAACAUGGCUGCAGGAUAGAAACAGAAGUCAGGACGACGAAGUUGACAAAUGCUACAAGUUGAAGACAUGCUUUCAUGCUUGUGACAAUGGACCCAGAACUGUUAAAAUCAUUGGCUCUUAGUGUUCCUCGUAGAGACAAGAAAAGAUACUGGUGAACCCUACCAUCAACCCAGCAAACGCUAUAGAAACUGGUAGUGAAAAAACUGAACAGCCAUAGCUAAUUAUCAUGCAGCUACAGCUUUAUUAUCAUUUCUGUACAUUCAAAAAUUGUACUUGUACUUUAUACCCUCAAGCUUAUAAUUCCCUGGGAAACUAUGAGAUUAUGGCUCAUUAUAUCCCGUUGCUAUGUUGUUGCCAAGUGCAAUAUGAACCAUUAUUGCACUGCUGAAAAGUCAUAUUGCACUGACCACAAAACGCCCCUCUGGUAUAAUUAAAUUAAAUAUUGUAUCAUGAGAAAUAACAAGUAUCAAAGUAAGUCCAGCCAUGCAGGAAUGUUCAGCACUGCUGGAAUUUCUUCUUUGCAACCAUGCAGGUUUUAAAAUCGUCCCAGGCUCAUUUUGUGAAGAUUCUGUGUUCCUAGACCUAGUCCUCCACUUCUUGAUGCAUGGUCAAUUCUGGCUUCACCAUAGGCAUAGCACUAGAAGCGGCUCUUUUUGCAGGGGGCUUGAGCUGUUUUGCAGCAGUGUAGAGGCGAGCUUCUUUGGCUUGGUUAUGAUGCCGAGGAUAUCGAUAGUGGAGGGGGCUGUUCGAGCAGCAGUUACACUGAUGAGUAGUAUAGUAUAGUGGGGUGGGGCUGUUUCUUCGCAGCAGUAAAUGGGGUGGGGCUGUUUCUUUGCAGCAGUAGAGGGGUGGGGCUGUUUUGCAGCACCAGAAGUGGGGUGGGGCUGUUUUGCAGUAGUUUCAGCGUUGGAACUCCAACAAUUUUGUGUCAAGCCAUUCGUCGGUCAUGCCAAUCUUAUACGCUGCAUAUACUGGCGUGUAGGAGAGAGAAGAGAUGGAGCUGUGUCUAGAGUUGUCUCUGUCUUUUUUUGUGCAGUUUAUAUUGUGUUACUAGGACAGUGUUAUGUUGCUAUGCCCUAGGGAUAUAAACUAGUUAUAACACGUGCACUCGGGCUGCAUGACAUAUAUUGCACUCAGCCCUCGGGGCUGGCGCCCUCGUGCUUCAGUGCAAUAUAUUCUAUACAUCCCUUGUGCCCGUGUUAUAACUAUAACUAAUUCCCUGCUAAACACACACAAGUGGGAUCUAAAUAUAUAUAUAUAUAUACACCAUUAAUUAGAAACUGCUGAACAUGUAAAGUCUAACGAUGCAUAACCAUAUAAUAUAUAUGCUGCAGUGGAGGGAGGCUACGUUAUUCGAUAGUUAAACCAUUGCAGUGCUACCACUCUCAAUGCAUGUGAGUACAUCUCAUACAAACACACACACACACACACAGAAAGAUGGCUCUCACAUUAUGAAGAACAUUUGAUUUUUUAUACUCUAGUGCCUGAUACACUCUAAUAAUUUAUGUUCAGUAGCACCUAUAACCCUAACCCUAACCCUAACCCUAUUAUCUAUCACCAACAAGAAUCAUUUUAUGUUAUUUGUGUAUGCCAUACUCUGAGAAAUACUGAUUAAGCUGCCAAUUUGAAAUUAAAAAUACAUGAUUCUCGACUCACCAGAAUUUUCAUACCUAAACUUAUUACUGAAUGUUAUGCAGUCGUCGUACCGCUCUUUAGCUAGCUAACGACACAUUAGAUUAGAUCCCCCGACAAUACUAUUGUACAUACCAUAAUUAUCUCCAUAAAUGUAUCACUGUCAAAUGGAAUGCGUGGGAGCUGUCUCAACUUAUCAGUAAUACACAGCCACUCAUUUCUUCACCAGGAAAGCCUUUGUACUUACUCUACAAGUUUUUUUUCAAUGGCUGAAGAGCCAAGUGCUCCCCAAGAAGCUCUCUCCAAAUUGAAGGACCAGCUGUCAUGCCUCGUCUGUGUGGAAGUUCCGAACCCUACACCAACCCUAGACUGCUUUCCUGUUUUCAUAUCUACUGUCAACAUUGUCUCGAGGAUAUAGUUGCCCACAAUGAACCAAGCCAGCUUGAAUGUCCCAGGUGUCACUGGCCCACCCCCUACCCCCCACUGGUGUGAGUGGCCUCCAGGCUGCAUUCCAUAUUCAUUACCUUUUGAUAUCCAAGAAACACUCAAAAAGAUCAAGGAGCCUCAAAACUUAGCCGGUGAGAAAUGCUCCAGGACGACUCGUAAAGCUACCAGCUUUUGCCGACAAUGCACCAAGUUCAUCUGCGAUAUGUGUACGACCAUGCACAAAGAGUGGGAGGAUUUUGAAGGCCAUAAUCGGAGCACAACGAGCUAGUUUUCGAUUAUCAAAUAAUGAUCCUAAUCAACUCAUCCAAAUUCCAUCCUCAAGCACUAAAGUCGAGCUCUUAUCAGGAUCAACUUAUCAGGAUCAACAAAUCAGACGACAAAAUGUGUUGUGAAGGAACGAAGGAAGUGAGAGUACGAGAACUCUUUCCAGCCAAUAGUGGGUAAGGCUACAUGUGAGAGUGGGUGAGGAAGAGGUGGCAGAAAGUUCAUUUCUGGUGGCAGUCAAGACUCCGAUCAAUAAACUGGGAACUAUCGUUAGAUUUAUUGAAGUUUUCAAAUCACCUUGGGGAGUGGCAGUCAACAAGAGAGGUGAAGUGAUUGUGGCUGAAAGCGAUGCAGGUGUUGUUUCAAUCUUUAGCCCAACAGGAGACAAGCCGCAAACAUUAGAUACUAAACGCACGGUUGUUGGAGAGGUGAAGAAUCUUCGUGGUGUGGCAUUAGACGGUGAAGACAAUAUUCUGGUGGUAGACCGUGGCAAUCAUCGACUGUUGAAGUUCUCACGUGAAGGAGACUUGAUAGCAGCACUAUAGGUAGUCAUAGGGAUGGUCCUAUACAGUUUUCUGCACCUUAUGGUGUGUGUGUCAACAGUGUCAAUGGGAAGGUGUAUGUGGUUGAUCGUGGUACUCACUGUGUUAUUAUCAUCAACUCUGACCUCACCUUCUCUAGUAAGUUCGGCAGUUAUGGCAAUGGUGAGGGACAGUUUGAUUCUCCCUGGGACGUUACAUCCGAUCAUAAUGGUUGUGUGUAUGUGGCUGAUUUUGUUAAUGAUCGAGUGCAAGUCUUCACACCCGAUGGUGGCUAUCUGAGGCAGUUUGGGAAAGAGAGGCAAUGGAAAAGGAGAACUUAACAGGCCUGCCAGCACCUGUGUGAACAAUAAAGGUCUGGUGUAUGUGGGGGAGAGCAUAAACCAGCGGGUCUCAGUAUUCACGUGUGAGGGGGUGUUUGUCAAGUCAUUUGGAUCAUUGGGAUCUGGACCAGGACAGUUCAAAGAACCUUUGGGCAUAGCAGUCGACCAGUUUGGUGUGGUGUAUGUGUCUGAUCAUGACAAUGAUAGAGUGCAAAUUUUUUAUUAGUUUUGUUGCCAUGCCUCAUUAAUUUUUGUGAAAGCAUUUUGCCCCAUCAGAAAUUAAAUGUCAUAGUCACAUGCAGGUAUAGCAACUGCAAUGCCAUGCAUGUGCAUUAAAAUUAUAGUGCAUGACUGCAUGUAUACUCAUUACUCUUCUCUAUCCCACCCUGGUAGGAGAGUUGGACUU